CAAAAUUGCCUCUGGUGUGGCAAAAUGGCUUGAAAAAGCAAAUAUUGUAGUGACAAAACUGCUACACAUAUAAAGAAAGCAACAGGAGUCACAACUGGUCAUAGUCUACUGCAUCCUGUUCAUAAGUAGGAUGAAAGAAGUCUCAAAUAAGUGGAAUUUUAAAGUAAUGCUUGAAUAAGUUAUCCUAUGGAACCUUCAGGGCUUGCUCUCUGUGAACUAAACGGCUCAUGGACAAGUACUGUGUAAGCACUCUUCACAAAAUGAGAAUAGACAUCCGGAGCACCUGAGUGUUUCACUGUUAAAACUCUUAUUGC
rnacentral:lncRNA from 1 species